rnacentral:rRNA from 1 species
UACGUAGGGGGCGAGCGUUGUCCGGAAUCAUUGGGCGUAAAGCGCGUGUAGGCGGCUUGGUAAGUCUGGUGUGGAAUCCUGGGGCUUAACCCCAGACCUGCACUGGAUACUGCCAAGCUUGAGUCCGGGAGGGGAGAGCGGAAUUCCUAGUGUAGCGGUGAAAUGCGCAGAUAUUAGGAAGAACACCGGUGGCGAAGGCGGCUCUCUGGAACGGUACUGACGCUGAGACGCGAAAGCGUGGGGAGCGAACAGG